rnacentral:rRNA from 1 species
GACGGAGGGCGCAAGCGUUGUUCGGAAUUACUGGGCGUAAAGCGCGGGCAGGCGGUCUGUUCAGUCGUUUGUGAAAAUCCGGGGCUCAACCCCGUGAAAUGCGUACGAUACUGGCAGGCUGGAGACUGGUAGAGGCUAGCGGAAUUCCUGGUGUAGCGGUGGAAUGCGUAGAUAUCAGGAAGAACACCUGUGGCGAAGGCGGCUAGCUGGGCCAGUUCUGACGCUCAUCCGCGAAAGCGUGGGGAGCAAACAGG